rnacentral:tRNA from 1 species
AAGAUUUUAAGUUAUUAAACUAUUAGCCUUCAAAGCUAAAAAUGAAACAUAAGUUUUUAGAUCUUA